rnacentral:rRNA from 1 species
UUUUAAUCCAACAUCGAGGUCGCAAACUUAUCUAUCGAUAUGAACUCUCCAAAUAAAUUACGCUGUUAUCCCUAAGGUAAGUUAAUCUUAUAAUCAAAAAAAUUGGAUCAAAAAAACAAUAAUUAAUGAAAAAAAAAUUAAAAGUUAAAAAAAUUUUAAUGUCACCCCAACAAAAUUUUACCUUCAAAAUAUAAAUUUAAAUAACAAAAAAAUUAUAUAAUUAAAUAAAAUAAACUUCUAUAGGGUCUUCUCGUCCUAUAAAAAAAUUUUAGCAUUUUAACUAAAAAGUUAAAUUCAAAUAAUUAAAAAAAAGAAAGUUAUUUUUUCAUCAAACCUUUCAUUCUAGCCUUCAAUUAAAAGACAAAUGAUUAUGCUACCUUCGUACAGUUAAAAUACCGCAGCCUUUUAAUUAAUUAGAAUCAAUGGGCAGGUCCAAUCUUAAAUAAAAUUCAAAAGAACAUGUUUUUGUUAAACAGGCG